CUAUUCUCAGGGCCCGCCUGGCAGGACGACUGAGCAAGUCCUUGGAAAACCAGAGAGAUUAGAGCGGUGAAUCGCGCUGGUCACGUUGGACACCUGCGCAUUAGGAGAUUCUGGAGCCAGGACAGCUGACUGGCCUUCGCCCGCCCUGCCCCUCUCCUGCUUCAGAAGCCCCCAGAAACUCCACGGUUGGCCACCCAGCCCGAGCCGCCUGGGGUCCCAAGGGAAGCUGAACACCCGCAGAAUGGGGAAAUGGAGAGAGAACCUAAAAGAGCCCCAAACGCGAGGACCUAUUGCUCCCCAAGAAUAACAUCUUCCAGAACUAGACAGAAAACUAGGCGUCUGGGUACCCUGAAAUCCUUGGAGGAGUAGCAUCAUCCUGACCCUCUGUGUUGCUUUUGGCAAACGACUUGCUUCCAUUGUUUGUUUGUUCAAUUGUCUGUUUGUUAAAUAAAUAAAACCCUUUUCAUAUA